GACAGAGGUUCAGUUUGGAAGAUGGGAAGUCCUGGAGAUGAUGGCGGGAACACUUGCACGACACCACGAGUGUACUUAAUGGUUAUGGUGACAAGUUCUACAUUCUAUAUAUUUUCCUACAGUUUUAAAGAAGGAAAUACUGGUUUCAAAACACGUUUUCACAACAAAGCACUGGAGAAAACUUCCCUCGGACCCCAGGGUCCUUUCUGGAAAGAAGGCCCUCUCACGUCAGCCCUGCUCGGUGUCUGCAGCUGGCCUCUCCUGACCUAGGACCCCAUGGACCCCAGGAGAGGAAGCUGACUUGGGAGCCGCCCACCUUGCUGG
ensembl:lncRNA